GGGAGACUGUCCCGCCCCCCUUCCCUGAGUCCCCGCCCCCAUCCCGUCCUGUCCUCCUGGCCAGCUAGAGAAGACGCCCUUGUGGUGCUGGAGCCCAAGGCCCCCACCCAGCCUUUCCCACAGCAGCACCUCCCCCGCUUGCACAGCGCCCGCUUUGUUCAUCUGUACAGCUGGGCUUUCCACCACCACCACCACCACCAGGGCCACCACCAUGCAUACUCUCCUCCCGCCCUCUCCUUCCGACCCUCCUAGACCACCCUCCCUCCACUCUAGGCCUCGAAGCUCUUUAUUUACCCUGCCCUACCCAAGAUGCUUGACUCCCAAUGAGCCCUAGCACAGUCCUACCACAGAUGCUCAAGUUUCUUUUCAGAACAUCUACUGAGGGCACCCAGCUCAGCCCCUACCCUUUGCUAGUCCAAGCCCCACCAUAGAGAGCUGCCGGUCGAGUUAAUAAUUGCACAUCAGGCUUCAGAAAUUAACGUGAAGGCCUGUUAAAAGUGUGGUGCUGGGGUUGGGGAUUUAGCUCAGUGGUAGAGCGCUUGCCUAGGAAGCCUAAGGCCCUGGGUUCGGUCCCCAGCUCCAAAAAAAAAAAAAAAAAAAGAACCAAAAAAAAAAAAAAAAAAGUGUGGUGCAAGCCAGAUGGUGGUGGCUUUUAUCCCAGCAUUCGGGAGGCAGAGGCAGGUGGAUCUCCUCUGUGAGUUCGAGACGGGCUGGCCUCGGAAUAAGUUCAAGGACAGCCAGGGCUACACAGAGAAACCCUGUCUCGAAAAACAAAAACAAAAACAAGUGUACUGCAAACCUCAAGACCCAGGAAAGCCGAAUGGAGAUCGCUCGCCCUCUUGUUUCUGUCCAUUCACCUCCAAUACAGACUUGUUGGGUUACAGCUGGAGCUGGAGGCAGAGUAGAAAGACAGGUUGGCUGAAGAGUGAGAGUUUGAGGAAGAAGAAAAGAGGGGGGCGGUCUAUAAACCCAGCCUGGCAAAGUCACUCAGCAAUUCAACCCCCACCCCGAAAUCCAAGCUGACAGUGGAGCCGCACCUUGCAAAGCCUGCUUUUGCCCCAGGAGACCGCUGGGAGGCCUCACGGGAGCUGAACUCGACUAGACUGGGCCUCUUUAACCUGCACUAAAGGAUUGGCAGACGCUCUUCCUCAGUGAAGGAAAGGGCCGGAAGCCCCCAAGUCCGGCCUAAAUUCCAGAUGGGAUGGGUUAGGAAAAAAUUUAAAAUGAAAGUCCUCUUUGGAAUGGACAAGCUCUGUUCUGUUCCAAUGGCUUUUGUUCUGUGACCUCCUCAGUCUUUCCCAGGAGUGGCAGGAGUCUGCACUGCAGGAAUUUGGUCACUCAUUGACAGAACUAGCAUUAGUAGGGGGCACCCACUGCUGGCAAUUAAACCGGAGACAGCCGAGCAGUGGACAAGAGGGAGGAGGAAAAAGGGUCCCACCUGCCACCUACUGUAGCCAAUAGAGGUGCAACAUACUCAGUGGUCACCAGGAAACCCAAGCUUUUUGCAGUCUCUUUCCACCUCUCUAAAUAUCAUUGGAGGCUCAAGUGGCCAACCUUCCUGUGGCACUUAUCAGUCGCAACAGUGAUUUUCAUGCUGUCCUCGUAUGUUCUUGAGCAAAAAGAGAAAACAAACCAAAAUCAUCUUGUUCUGUAUGUGAAGAAGACAUAGCAUUUGGAGAAGGGGCUCAGAUUAGGGUAUCUCAAACUCUCUCAUCUUGUUCUUAACCUCCAGCUGCUGUUUAUUGACUUGGUCAGGAGAACUGUCAUACAAUAAUUAAACCUGCCAGAAGCAGAUGAUGCUGAGGCAGGGGGUUUAAAAAAGCAGCUAAUUUUUCUCAGUGUCUCGCUGUCCAGCUGACCCUAUGAUCAAGGCUCUAAGAAAUUUGUCCUAUCUCCGGCUGUGUCCAGUCUCUGUGUUCCCACAGUUAGAGCACUCAGGGGACUAAAGACCUCCUGCCCCCACUCCUCCACCCUCUUCCCACUGCACAUCUGGAGCCCAUCAGGAAGCUCAGUGCUCUCUCACAGUUAUGCAAGAGGUCGAGCAGCUGGGAGCUCUGCGCAGAGCUGAAAAGGGGGAGGAAGAGAAGACAGCAGAGAACAACUUUCCAAGCAUGCUUCAAACUUUCCGAAAUGGAAGCAAGGGGAGAGGGCAGAGGCUGGGUGUGGAAGGAAGGCAUCAUGUCUGCCUGGAUGCUGCUGUGCUUUCUGCCAUCGUGAUAAUGGACUGAACCUCUGAAUAGAGGUCCUGAGUUCAAAUCCCAGCAACCACAUGGUGGCUCACAACCGUCUGUAAUGGAAUCUGAUGCCCUCUCCUGGUGUGUCUGAAGACAGCUACAGAAUACUCACAUACAUAAAAUGGACAAAUAAAUCUUAAAAAAAAAAAAAAAAACUUAAAAAAAAAAAAAGAGUUGCUUGGUCACAGUGUCUCUUCACAGCCACGGAACCUAAGACAGGUGGUAUCUUUACUUUGGUUUGUUGUGGAGUAAGUAGACCUGUGCUGUGUCUUCCUAGGAAGUGACAUACACCUCUGUGACCCCUUUAGGUCCUAAAUACUACCAUUGGUGUAGGCAUAUAGGUGUGGUAUAGGUAUGGUGGCAUCAGUGAUGCCAGCUACCACCUUGCUCCAUCAAAUUUGAUGGAAAGAGUGCUCAAACUUUACCUUAACAGAGGUAAAGCCACUAUUUUAUCAGUUGGAAAAUGGGCACAAUCCAUAUUUGUAUGCAAACCUAAUGCAAUCAAGCGGUGUGAGAAAUUUGGCCACGACUGCAGAUGGGCUCUUCUGUGGCUCAGGACCUGACUGUGAGGAGGAGAGAACAAGCACUAAGGACUGGAGAGCGCAGCACAUGUAGAGCGCAUGCUGUUUGGUAUGCAAGGUGUUGAAUCUGAUACCCAGCACUGCAUGCACACUUAAUUGGGAAAUAAAAUCAGUUAUUUCUUUUAAAAAAACGAUUUAUUUAUUUUAUGAUACGAGUACACUGUAGCUGUCUUCAUUCACACCAGAUCCCAUUACAGAUGGUUGUGAGCUACCAUGUGGUUGCUGGGAUUUGAACCCAGGAUCUCUGGAAGAGCAGUCAGUGCUCUUAACCACUAAGUCAUUACUCCAGCUCCCCAGUUGUUUCUCUUG